GGCGACCAUAGCAAGAGUGAACCACCUGAUCCCUUCCCGAACUCAGAAGUGAAACCUCUUAGCGCUGAUGGUAGUGUGGGAUUACCCAUGUGAGAGUAAGUCAUCGCCAGCUC
rnacentral:rRNA from 2 species